rnacentral:rRNA from 1 species
AGUGAACGCUGGCGGUAGGCCUAACACAUGCAAGUCGAACGGCAGCACAGUAAGAGCUUGCUCUUACGGGUGGAGAGUGGCGGACGGGGGAGGAAGACAUGGGAAUAUACUUUUUCGUGGGGGAUAACGUAGGGAAACUUACGCUGAUAACGCAUACGACCUACGGGUGAAAGCAGGGGAUGUUUUGACCUUGCGCGAGGGAAUGAGCCGAUGUCGGAUUAGCUAGUUGGCGGGGUAAAGGCCCACCAAGGCGACGAUCCGUAGCUCGUACGAGAGGAUGGUCCGCCACACUGUAAGUGAGACAGGUUCCAGACACCUACGGGAAGCCGCAGUGGGGACUCUUGGGCAAUGGGGGCGUGCCUGAUCCUGCCAUAUCGCGUGAGUGAUGAUGCACUUCUGGUUGUUAAGCCAUUAUGUUGGGAGAGUUAAGCAGCACUUUAAUACCCCGCUGUUAUGACGGUACCGAAAGAAUAAGCACCGGCUAACUUCGUG